GCACUGCUGAGUAGUCCCAUACUAGGACGAAACGGCCGUCCAGUGC
rfam:Schistosoma haematobium scaffold451_13, whole genome shotgun sequence.